AGAUGUGACCUUCUCUUCGGAGCCUGGAGCACAGGUGCUGCAUGGCUGUCGUCAGCUCGUGUCGUGAGAUGUUGGGUUAAGUCCCGCAACGAGCGCAACCCCCGUCCUUAGUUGCUACCAUUUAGUUGAGCACUCUAAGGAGACUGCCGGUGAUAAGCCGCGAGGAAGGUGGGGAUGACGUCAAGUCCUCAUGGCCCUUACGGGCUGGGCUACACACGUGCUACAAUGGCGGUGACAAUGGGACGCUAAGGGGCAACCCUUCGCAAAUCUCAAAAAACCGUCUCAGUUCGGAUUGGAGUCUGCAACUCGACUCCAUGAAGUUGGAAUCGCUAGUAAUCGUGGAUCAGCAUGCCACGGUGAAUACGUUCCCGGGCCUUGUACACACCGCCCGUCACACCAUGGGAGUUGGUUCUACCUGAAGGCAGUGCGCUAACCCGCAAGGGAGGCAGCUGACCACGGUAGGGUCAGCGACUGGGGUGAAGUCGUAACAAGGUAGCCGU
rnacentral:rRNA from 1 species